GACGAACGCUGGCGGCGUGCUUAAUACAUGCAAGUAGAACGCAGUUGCGAACGGGUGAGUAACGCGUAGGUACCCGCCUCAUAGCGGGGGAUAACAAUUGGAAACGAUUACUAAUAACGCAUACUGUGAGAUGGACCUGCGUUGUAUUAGGUAGUUGGUGUGGUAAAGGCUCACCAAGGCGACGAUACAUAGCCGACCUGAGAGGGUGGGCGGCCAGACGGGGACGGGGACACGGCCCAGACGCGCACGGGAAGCGGCAGUAUUGAAUCUGCGGCAAUGAACGGAAGUCUUUCCGAGCAACGCGGCGUGAUGUAGGAGGAUUUUCGGAUCGUAAAGCACGGUUGUUAGGGAAGCGGUAACUAACCAGAAAGGGACGGCUAACUACGUGCCAGCAGCCGCGGUAAUUC
rnacentral:rRNA from 1 species